CAUCUCCUUUAAAGGGGCACUAGCUGUCAAAUUCAUGGUCACCGAUUUGACUCAAAUUCUCAUAUUUGAUUUAUAACAAUGUAAAACAUUUAUCCAAACUAUCAAAAGUCUAAAAUAAACAGUUUACAGAGCAUAGGGUAGAUAAUAUAUAGGUUCGUUUCGUGUGUAUUUUAGUCCAGACGCCAUCUAAUUAACUAUCGAUUUGACCUCA
rnacentral:lncRNA from 1 species